rnacentral:rRNA from 1 species
UACGUAGGGCGCAAGCGUUGUCCGGAAUUAUUGGGCGUAAAGAGCUCGUAGGCGGUUUGUCGCGUCGGAUGUGAAAGCCCGGGGCUUAACCCCGGGUCUGCAUUCGAUACGGGCAGACUAGAGUGUGGUAGGGGAGAUCGGAAUUCCUGGUGUAGCGGUGAAAUGCGCAGAUAUCAGGAGGAACACCGGUGGCGAAGGCGGAUCUCUGGGCCAUUACUGACGCUGAGGAGCGAAAGCGUGAGGAGCGAACAGG